AUGUAAUAUGAUUUUAACCAAUUCACUAGUUUGGGGUUAGGUUGGGGUUAGGUUCACUAGUUUAUGCAACGUUAGUCAAAAUAUAUUUACAAAUUACAAAUAAUAUUGAUCAUAUUCAGAAUUAUAUACCAUUAAUGAUUAAAAAUACGUUCUACCUUUUUGUUAUAUCUAAUUUUGUAAAAUUAUUUUCUAUAUUAAACUCUUAUAAACAUAUUUUCUGGCGUCUAUUUAAAGAUGGCUCCUCUAACAUGCUCAUUUGAGGUUGUGUCAUCAGAUUAUUUUAUACAAUAUCAGAUUAUAUACAAUACAAAAAAAAAAGAACGAACAAUCAUUCUUCGUAAAAUAAAUAGCGUUACAAAUAACGAUUGACAUAAUGAACGGCAGAGAUAUUCAUUUAUUACAGAAAUUUAAUUCUGCCUUUGCUGAAGAACAUUGGGACGAGUUAUUGAAUCUUCUCAAUCCAAAAAUUUUUAGUUCUUUUGAAUCGAAGGAAUUAAUUGCCUUUCCGGUCUUGGCAAAAGUAGCACAAAUUCUUACAACCGAAGACUCUGUUGUCCCAAACGAUAUAAAGAUUGGUUGCUUAAAAUGCCUAGGAAAUUCUUGUUUUAAUAGUUAUGUACACCAACAAUAUAUUUCAACUACAAUCGAGCGAGGCACAUACAGUCACAAUUUAUAUCGCGUUCUAGCAAGUAACAAAAAUUUAGAAGAGAUAAAGAAUUCUAGUUCUUAUCCAUUCGAUUCUCAUUUUCCUUACGAGGGUGUUGUAGGAUGGACAUCAAACGUUAUUACAACAUUUCACUGUAAAUUCGAUAGCGAUUUGUCAGAUGAAAAGUUGGAAAUUUUAAGAUUAAGUAUCCAGUUCCUAUGUAAUCUGUUUACAUUUGCAUGUAAAGAUAGUAACUUUCCAGAUCAAUAUAAUAUACUACAAUUUUUAUACAAUACUGAUUUAAAGGAUGUAAUAAUAACUAUGACACAUUCUAAACAUAUACCAAUUGUUAGAGCUUCGUGUGCAUUUGUACAUAAUGCUUUAAAGGAAUUUGAAGGGAAAACUUUCUCGGAAGGAGAAAAAAAACGUUUAUGUUCACAAUUAUUGAAAGCAACUAAAGAAGGUUUUGAAAGUGCAAAGGAGGCCUUGAUGCUUUUAUUAUCUGAAAAGGACAUACUGCAAAGCGUAUACUGUGAUAUGACUAUCGAAAAUAAAUUAUGUUUAUUAGAAAUAAUUUAUAACGAACUCUCAAAUUCAAUAGACAAAAUUGAAUAUAAAUUUACGCAGGAUGCGAUUGAAUUUUUAAUUAAAAGAUUUUGUAGAAAAAGUGAUUUGAUUUUGAAGACAGUAGAUACAUAUUUAGAUGAAAUAGAACCUACAGAAAUCGUCAUUCUUCUUGAUAUUCUUGGAGCCUUGACUUCAAGAUCUUGCGAAGAAUACAGUUUUCUAAAGGAUCAAAAGAGCUUGCUUAUUAAUUGUAGUUAUCUACUAAAGUCCAUUCAAACGAUUGGAAAAUUAUCAGAUAAUUAUUUCACGCCCCUACAAAAGUUGAGUGAUGUAGCUUCAGCGAUACAAGGGUCAACAACAAGAGGUGAUUUAGAAGGUCAUCCUACAUUUGGUUUUAAAGCUGGUUUAAUAAGGAUUAUUGGAAAUAUGUCAUACAGAAAUAAGGAAUAUCAAGAUCUUCUUCGUGAAAUGGACGUCGUGCCUCUGCUUCUGGACUGCUGCAAUAUAGACGCGAGAAAUCCACUUAUAAUGCAAUGGACGAUCCUCGCGCUGCGGAAUUUAUGCGAGGAUAAUCCGGCGAAUCAAGAGAUCAUCCGGAAUUGCAACAGAGUCGGCGUCGUGGAGAGCAGCGUGCUGCAGGAAAUGGGUGUCGCGCUGCACGAGGACGAGGAAGGAAAGAAAAUUGGAAUCGUGCCCUUGCCGCGUGAACGAAAAUAACAGACUUUAUCGAAGAUCUUUCACAUGGAGCCUCUUUGGCGAAGCCUUUCUUCGUUUUUGUCCAUUGGCUCGAAAGAGUUUCGAAUUGGAGGAACAGCGGUUUCCUUUGGCACGGCCGCGGCACGGCAGUCACUUUCCACGAUCUCGAUCGUCCAUACGUAUGUAUAAUCACGCGACUCGUGUUAAUUAUAUUACUAUUUACCAGCUUGUGUAUCGAUAGCUCACCGGAUAAGGUAUCGGUGAUCUCUUUAUCGGGAGUUAGACCGCAAUAAUUAUUCGAGAGUUAGGCCGACUGCAAACGUAUCUUUCUUAGCGUGUGUCGACUGUAAAAUAAGCCUACAAUUAUAGUACAUGAUAGGUACCAUUACAUGAAAUAUGAUAUCGUAUUGCGUAAGGAGACAUUAUAUCUGCAUUCGCGGCCGGCUGAUUUACGGUACGAUAAAAGCUGCCACGGGUUCACGGUCUAUUAGCAGUUACUAAUGCAGCUGUACGUCUGUACGUCCGCAUCUGUCAUUGCGAAUUCGUUUACGAACGAACGUUUAUUAGCCAUCGUUGAAUAUCGAUAACAUCUUACUAUCGUUCAAGUUUAUUAUUACGUUUGCCGGCGUUUCUAGAAAAGUGGAAAUCGUGAUUUCGUUAAAUGGUUGUCUUAUUACUUUGCUAUACUUAUGAUUCGUCGCGUGCAGAUGUCUCGAUACUCUACUGAAGUUUACUAUUAUCCUCGAAAUUUGAACUGUGUUAUUGUAUAUUGCCUUCUAUGGUCGUUUAUAUCUUGUCGCGAUUUCUCUCUUUCCUAGGAAUCGUUAAUUACUUGUCUACUCUGAAGCGUGUAACGCCAAUAAAAAACGACGCUGUCAAUCUAUAAAUAUCAGCAAAUAUCAGCAAAUAUCAGCAACGUCGUGAACUGUACCUCUCAAGAUUCAAAUAGAAAUCGGCGGGUAAUUAGAUCGAUAUCACGAUCGAAAUUCGUUCAACGUGAGUCACAGUUGUAUAAACGUUUUACAAAAUGUAAUGAUACGUUUCUAUCAAUAUACGCGGACGUGAUUCACGAUCUGAUCGACUGUAACCAACUGUUUGCUGAUUUAUAAUCUAUUGUCUGUAAAGAACUGCAUGGCAUUCCUUCAUUUUCGUCUUUCAUUAUUAUUCGUUAUCGAGUUACCGUACGUUUGUUAUUUAAGUUACUCGAAUAUUCGAAGUUUCGAGCGAUGGAGUAGACAAAUGCAGCACAUCGAAAGAUCAUAAAUUAUGCGAGACCGUAGAAAAAAGAUCACGAAAAAAUCGUGAAAUUCUGCCGCAAUUAUGUUCGAAGUAAAUUUUUUAGUAAUUUAUCACAAGAAUGACUGAAAUUGAUAUUGUAAAGGAGAUGAUAGAUCUUUCUAAAUAUCGCAGAAGCAAAUCUUCAAUAUCUAACGUCCGUGUUAUUUAAGUUUAGCGCAGUUUUUUAAAGAUACAAAGAUAAUGGGGAAAAUGCAUGAGAAGAGGACGAAAAGACGCUUUACAGGAAAAUUAUAUGAACGAUAAUGGAACGCUUGUUCAUCGAUUAUUCUAGAUUAACACAGUUAUUUAUAAAACGCUUCGUUUCGUCGAACAACGGUUGAAGGAGUUGGGGAGAGGGAAAUUACGAAAAGGAAAAAAGGACUCUGGCGUGGACACCGCAGAAGCGGCUUUGCACGAACCGCGGGAGAUUGCUUUUAAUUUAAAUAUCAAGCGAUCCUGGACGAUUAAUCUCGCGCGGUUAUAAUGGCCGGCAAUUAACGCGAAAUUUAUCAGCUAAUUAUACGCAGGAUUAAUCUCGCCGUGGUAAUGAUACCUUUAUAAAGGUGAAACGACAAAGUAGAAAGAGGGAAAAGACACAGGAAAGAGCAAAAAAAAGGAUGUAUAUAUGCGUUAGAGUGCUUUUUCGCGGCUCAAAAUCUAUCAAUAUUUAUCAGUCAAAUAUUGAAUAUCAUUUUUCUCGAAAAUGAAACCUAAUAUAAAUAAAUUUCAUUCUGCGUUCUUCGUUUAUCUUUUCACGUACAAUCAGCCUGGUCGUAGUUGCGCCAGUAGUUACAGAAUCAUAUAUUCCGUAUAUCGUAAUGAUUAACCAUUAUAAUCGAGAUGUAGUCUGUAGUUACGAACAUAAUUCGUCAUAAAAGAAGCGGAAGAAUUUUUCGUUCGAGGCAAAUUUCUAUGUCUUAUGAUAAGAGGGUUUGGUAAUAUAGAAGCCAUUUUCUAUGCACUUGAAAGUCGAUUUUGUCUAGAAUGUAUAAAACAAGUAAUCGUAACGUGGUUGGUAUCCGAUUUCAAACGGGAAUACCGUAUCGACCAUUUUCGUUCGGCAUCUUUAUCGAUUAAUAUUCAUAGAUUCUAAUAGCCGAUGCGUGAAAGCACGUCGAUGGUCUCGAGUUCGUGAUUCCACGCAGCUUCUUGAUCGAUCGAUAUUUCGAUCGUUAAGUACCGAAUUCCUUGGUUUAAGGAUUCAUGCUGAAAAAAUUGUCUUUUCGAUAAAUUUGACACCUUAUCUACAAACAAUGAGAUAUUUUGUGCUCUCGAUUUUGAUAUUUAUCGGGGAAAUCUUAUUUAACGUGGUUUCGAUGUUAACAACAUAAACAAGAUGAAGUCAUUUACGAUUUAUCGAUAAAUGAUAAAAUUUAUUAAUAAACGAUAAAAUUGAAAGGAAGAAUCUGUAGGUUAAACGAAAGUUUCGCAGAAUAUUACACGGAUUUAAUGAUUUUAUCUUCAGACUU